GUGCAAUAAUGCUACUAGAAUAUGGAUUGAAUCAGCGAUUCUCAACCUUGGGGCUCCACUUCCAAGGAACUACGACAAACAGCAGCACAGCAUGAAUGUGGGGAUAAUCACAGAUGGUGUGGCUGGCGGGGACGAGGGAGUGAGCCUUCUCGGUGGUGGCCCCCCGGCUUUGGAACUCUCUCUCCAGGGAGAUCAGGUUAGUUCCGUCAUUGCCCAUCUUUCGCAGUCAACUGAAGACAUGGAUGUUCCGGAGCACGUUUGAAUAAAUAGCCCAUCUGACUUGGUAUCUACUCUAUGUUUACUAGCACUUUAUCUUGCUCCUCACUCUACAUGCUAUAGCACUUUAAAUGAAAUUGUUCCUUUGUUCCUUCUUUACUCAUUUUGAUUUUAUUCUCAGACCUGGUGGAAUGUUGUAUUAGUCACCCUCUGCUCUGCAAAACAAUUUGAUGUUCCGGUUUUUAAAGUAACUAUUAUGUUGUUUUUAUCUUGUAUUGCAUUGUUUUUAAAUUUCAUUGUUUUAUUGGAUUGUGUAUUAUAUGCUAUGUUGUCAUAUUCUCAUUGUAAGCCAUGUAGAUAUAGAAGUUUAUCAUACAAGAUAGGAAAUUGUAAUUACAGUACGACAACAGUAUCUUACUCUUGGACACUGCUCCUUUCCCAUCAAUCUUCUAGUAGAAAACAGACUGGAAAGCAUCUUUUUCUAGCACAAAUAAUCCAGUAAUUUACCUGCCUUUGUAUAAGAAAUACCUUUCAACAGUCUCCCACCAGGACACCAAGGAGAAAAGAACAACGUCAUGUGAUAAGUCCAAAGCAAUAACAUUGUUGUACUGCUCUAAUUGUGAUUUGCUUGCCUCAUGUGAGAAAAAAAUCCAUAGUUAAAACUGUUACUAACAAAGAAUGUAAAAAAGGGCAUUGAUCACAGCAAUGUGUUGAAUGCAAUGGUAGCUAUAUAUAAACUGAAACACGGAGUAAAUGAAUGACAGGCUGCUUAAAGGUGACACUUCAGACAAACACCCAUUACAGAAUGUUACCUUGGAGAAUAUAAAGAAUUGCUAAUGUUUUAGGAUUAGGAGGACAAUACCAAAUAGUCAUGUUGGACCAUUAAAUGUAGGAAAUGUUUUGCAAAACCAACAACAGUAUACUGUGAGAUACAGCACUAGAUUUCUAAUUUUAUCACCAGAAUUUGAUUUCCUGUACAGCACUGUCUGUUAGCCAAUCCUUACCAUCUAAGCUUCACAAACCUCCUAGUCUGAAAGGAUUUAGUAAUAUUAAAGGCAGUAUGCUCCACAUUGUGGCCUAUGAAAUUCAUUGAACCGAACAAGGGUACAUAGUGCUGCAAAUCCACUGUUGCUGAUCUAUUUAUCAUGGCCUUCAUGUGAAAACAAAUAUCUUCUCAUUACUUGGCCCCACCUUCCCCUAAUAUAUGGUGGUUUCAAUCAUUCAUAGUCUGUUAGAUAUGUAAGGAGAUUACCUUUCUAAUACAAUCAAGACCAAAGAGGAUGGAAACAUUUAAAAAAAUCUUUUAAAAAGAGGAUGACAGUGAAGUAGGGGAAUUCUGGACAGAUUGGGAGGAAUCAUCCAUUGGCCACAUGAUAAGUCAAACACACACUAUGAUAUUUGAUAUGGAAAGGAGAAAGGUGGGUGUGAUGGGUAUAUCCAGCAUUUAUACAGUCCUCGUCUAUCCUUCUUUAACCAUGGGUUGUCUUACUUAAUAGGCAUUUUCUCUGCUAUAUCUGAUAAGGUUCUUAGUGUUUAUAACUUUAAUAAUAUAUUCUUUGCAAUGGUGAUUGAUACUUAAUGUGGCAUGUUUAAUGACACCCCUAAGAGUUUCCCCUUGUAACUACAUCAGGUCCUGUGUUUGUGACAUCACAAGAAAGCAUUCUUAGGAAUUAGAUUUUGGUGCAUAAUUGUCAAGGCCAGAAGAGUCCUGGACUUGCACUAGGCAUGGCAUCAGUGGAGUGUGCUUUGCAGUGGGUGUGGGGUGGAAGAGACUUGAAAACAUAUUAAAAAUUCAAGUGCCACUAGAGCCAGAGCCCCCGGGAAAGGGAAAAUUAAUAGUGCAGAGAUGCAAGAAUAACAAGAAAAAAAAUAGAUCUGUGAUUGACAAGAAUAACAGGAUCCCCAAUGAUAUCCAAAGGAUCCUGGAAAGUUAAUCUACUAAAGAUAAGUUUUAUGACAAAAAGAAGACUUUUUUGUGUGAAGAAGACAGCAGACAGGGUAGGAAGCAUUAGUUAGGGCUUUCUAUUUUCUAUUCCCAACUUUUCUAUUUCCUUUGUUUCAAAACACUAUGCACCCACUUUUCUAUCUUUCUGUUUUAGUUUAGAAAAUAAAUGUUUUCUUUUUUUUCUUUUUCACAUCAUAGAAAUCCUUUUUGUAUUAGAUAACAAUGGAGGAAGACAAAGAAGUAAGAUGUUUAAAA